rnacentral:rRNA from 1 species
AUGCACGCUGGCGGCGUGCUUAACACAUGCAAGUCGAACGGAAAGGCCCAAGCUUGCUUGGGUACUCGCGUGGCGAACGGGUGAGUAACACGUGGGUGAUCUGCCCUGCACUUCGGGAUAAGCCUGGGAAACUGGGUCUAAUACUGGAUAGGACCACUUCUUGGAUGGUGUGGUGGAAAGUUUUUUCGGUGUGGGAUGAGCUCGCGGCCUAUCAGCUUGUUGGUGGGGUAAUGGCCUACCAAGGCGUCGACGGGUAGCCGGCCUGAGGGGGUGUACGGCCACAUUGGGACUGAGAUACGGCCCAGACUCCUACGGGAGGCAGCAGUGGGGAAUAUUGCACAAUGGGCGCAAGCCUGAUGCAGCGACGCCGCGUGGGGGAUGACGGCCUUCGGGUUGUAAACUCCUUUCGCUAGGGACGAAGCGUUUUUGUGACGGUACCUGGAGAAGAAGCACCGGCUAACUACGUG